rnacentral:rRNA from 1 species
AACGUAGGUGGCAAGCGUUAUCCGGAAUUACUGGGCGUAAAGGGUGUGCAGGCGGGGUUGCAAGUGGUGUAUGAAAUAUCCCAGCUUAACUGGGAGGGGUUAUGCCAGACUGCAACUCUAGAGGACGAGAGAGGGGGGUAGAAUUCCACGUGUAGCAGUGAAAUGCGUAGAGAUGUGGAGGAAUACCGAUGGCGAAGGCAGCCCCCUGGGCCAAUACUGACGCUCAUGCACGAAAGCGUGGGGAGCAAACAGG